CUCUGAGAAGCUAAUAAGCAUUGGUCUUGUAAAUCAAAGAUAAGAAAACUUCUCCAGAGU
rnacentral:tRNA from 1 species